UCAACAUCUCAUCUCAUCUCAUCUCAUCACCAAUUGUGGAAAGAGGUAGAGAUUCAUAAUAAUGUUGAAGAAGAGGAAUGGGUUGAAGGCGUAUUGUUCCUAUCACAGUAAUGGGGCCUUGAGAAAAGCCGUAGCAAGCUCCAUCAAUGGCGGUCGCUACAAUUAUUCCGUCCAAAUGGGCCCCUCCACCGUUGCCAUUAUACAUUUCACGCCAUACGCCGUCAAUUUCAACUAAGCCCCCACCUAACCCCUUCCUCCAAUUUUGAUUUGACCCUCUCGCCCUUUUCUUUCACGACCACCACUCCACUCACCACUCACCACUCUCCAGCACCGAUCGCCAUCGACUCCCACCUCCGUUUCCGUCAUUUUCUUCUCUGAUUCUUAACCAAAAUUUCCCUUCCACUCAUAAUUCUUCACCUCAAGAAAAAUAACAAAAAAAUCCGAGGUCCAAGGCUCACGGAAUUGCAGCUAACCAACCAUACGAGUUAACUCCAGGUGCUUCCAAAACGGUUUUUUUGUGUGGGAAUUAUUGGCCACGUUGCUAUAUCUUAUGAAACGUUUAUAAUGUAAUGUCAAUGGGGAUAUAGAGAUUCAAUUUUACACCAAUUUAUGGAUUUAACUUUAGUUUUUCACUGUAAACAAAUUAUAUCAAUAAAUAAAUAUUUUACAAAAAGGUGUGUUAUGAAGUUUUUCACGACAUUCUAUACGAUCGUUUACCCUCUUACACAAUCAUUUAGCUUUCUAUUCGACCGUUUACCGUCUUACACAAUCGUUUAGCUUUCUAGCUUCAAACAAUUUUUUACUUAUUACACGAUCGACUAACCUUCCAUACGAUCGUUUAACAAAAUAUUCACAACUUUACUUUUAUUAAAGAAAUAAUAGAAUUAUAUAUAUACGUCCACAUAUGUAUUAUUAUUAAUAGUCCGGAUUGUUAGAUUAUUGUGCAUAUUCUUUUUACUCAUGGGUUGAAAUAUAGGAAAUAACAUAAAGUUUGGUUUAUUAGUAUUUUAUGUUUUAAUAAAGUCAAAAGUUUGGAGGUGUAAAUGAAAUGUGAUUUAUUAGCAUUUAAUUUAAGUAAUCAACACCAAAUUUGACCAUACGUAAGGAUCCUUUCCCUUUCUCCCUUUUCUCCUCUUCUCUCCCCAUAUCUUUAUUUUUCCUUCCCCUAUUGUUUUUUUAAAACUUUUCCAAUUAUGAAUGGGAUUUAUUGAAGUUGAGUUAGGGACAAUUUUGUAAUUUAAUGCCUCCAAUUAUUGAGAACAAAGUAUUCAUGUUGUGAUAUAUAUUAUAUAGUCGUGUGGACAAUUAAGAACAUUGGCCCCUCCUCUUGAUUAUAUAUCAUAACCCAAUCUUUUAUUCCUUGCUAUAUAAUUAGAUUUUUUUUUACAUUUAAAUAUUAUGCUUUAUUAUAAAAAUAAUUGUUAUCGAACCUCGACCCUCGUACAUGCUACUACAAACAUAGCUCAACCAAUUAAAUACAUGUUAUGAUUCAUUUAUUAGUUGAUAUAGUAAGUUAGUAAACAUUUAUUAGAUAUGUUAAUCAGUUGAUGUAAUGAAUAUUACCUUUUCUAUCA